rnacentral:rRNA from 1 species
GCCAGCUGCUGACUUCGGGGGAGAUACGGCGUCGAGCGGCGGACGGGUGAGUAAUGCCUAGGAAAUUGCCCUGAUGUGGGGGAUAACCAUUGGAAACGAUGGCUAAUACCGCAUGAUGCCUACGGGCCAAAGAGGGGGACCUUCGGGCCUCUCGCGUCAGGAUAUGCCUAGGUGGGAUUAGCUAGUUGGUGAGGUAAGGGCUCACCAAGGCGACGAUCCCUAGCUGGUCUGAGAGGAUGAUCAGCCACACUGGAACUGAGACACGGUCCAGACUCCUACGGGAGGCAGCAGUGGGGAAUAUUGCACAAUGGGCGCAAGCCUGAUGCAGCCAUGCCGCGUGUGUGAAGAAGGCCUUCGGGUUGUAAAGCACUUUCAGUCGUGAGGAAGGUGGUGUAGUUAAUAGCUGCAUUAUUUGACGUUAGCGACAGAAGAAGCACCGGCUAACUCCGUGCCAGCACCGCCCGGUAAUAA